rnacentral:rRNA from 1 species
ACGGGGUGCAGCAGGCGCGAACACUUUACAAUGCGGGAAACCGCGAUAAGGGAACCCCGAGUGCCAGCACCAAGUGUUGGCUGUCCAGAUGAUUAAAUCUCAUUUGUUAGCAAGGGCCGGGCAAGACCGGUGCCAGCCGCCGCGGUAACACCGGCGGCCCGAGUGGUAACCGUUUUUAUUGGGUCUAAAGGGUCCGUAGCCGGUUUGAUCAGUCUUUUGGGAAAUCUGGCAGCUUAACUGUCAGGCUUCUAAGAGAUACUGUCAGGCUUGGGACCGGGAGAGGUAAGGGGUACUCCAAGGGUAGGAGUGAAAUCUUGUAAUCCUUGGGGGACCAUCUGUGGCGAAGGCGCCUUACCAGAACGGGUCCGACGGUGAGGGACGAAAGCUAGGGGAGCAAACCGGAUUAGAUACCCGGGUAGUCCUAGCUGUAAACGAUGCUCGCUAGGUGUCAGGCACGGUGCGUCCGUGUUUGGUGCCGUAGGGAAGCCGAGAAGCGAGCCACCUGGGAAGUACGGUCGCAAGGCUGAAACUUAAAGGAAUUGGCGGGGGAGCAC